rnacentral:lncRNA from 1 species
AAAAACAUCACAACACACCAAUAAUCUCAACCAGACCCCAGACCCGGCGUCAAUGAAACCCGAAUCAAUCCGUAACCCACUCAUACAUGAUCUUCAUCACACGUCCCACACUAAUUUUUAUGAUGAAAAUGCUAAGAAACUUCUAGAAAUCGAUGCGUUGGCCUCUCCAAUGGUUCAAUCCCACAUUUCUCGGAUAAGAUUGUAUAAUUUCAUACAUAUUUGGCUGAUUUCCAUUGGUUUUGGGGGGAAAUUUAUUUUACCAUAUUUUAAUUGUUUCACCCAUUGCAAUCCCUUAGAAAAUAGGUACAAAUUAAAGAUUAAAAUGGGUUGUGGGGAGGGGUUUUCUAAUUUCAAAUUCAAAUAUCCUUCUUUUAAAUCCCAAAAAGGACCCCAACUCAGUCUUCUAUAAAAAGACCUCUUGGGUCACUGUUUAGGGGGAUUUUUCUCUCUUCUUCCCUUAUGGGUUUGAAAUUUUGGGUUGAGAAUUUGGGGGUUUUAAGAAAAGCUGAGAAAGAAAAGGAGUUGGAACAUUUUCUGAGAGAAACUUCCAGUUCAAAAUUACUGAGGGAGAAAGAAAAGAGGGAGACUUUUUGGAGAAAACUCAGUCUUUCAAUAGAAAUUUUGUUCUUUCUUAGAGAGUUCAUCGGCUAGGAAAAAAAUUCUGAGUUGACGAUAAUAUUCUCUGGUGGUGGCAAGUCCGACAUUAGUUUGAAAUUCUCGUUUUGCUGUUCAAUAUCCAGUUAGUCUUUGAAUCUCUCUUAUUUAUAUAGUUGUAAUGUAAUAGUAGUAGUGGUAGUUUAGGAAUCAAAUUCGGUGCUUGGUUGUGGUAUUAAGCUGGUUGUUACUCGUGUUUCUUUCUCGUUUCUGUGUCUGUAUACAUUGCUCUAUGUAUAUGGUAGGAUGAUGAGUGAAUACGCAAUGAUGCUGUCUUUAUUGUGGUUAAAUAAAAAUGAAGGAGGUCCUCAUUGCUGAAUGUUUGUUGCGUUGCUCAGUGUCUAUGGUGAAGUUUAGGUUCAGUUGAUUUCUUGGAUUUUCUAUUUUGUUGGUUCUUUUAGUUAUUAUGUCCUAG